UACGUAGGGAGCAAGCGUUGUCCGGAAUCAUUGGGCGUAAAGCGCGCGUAGGUGGCUUCGUAAGUCCGUUGUGAAAGUCAAAGGCUCAACCUUUGAAUGCCGAUGGAUACUGCGGAGCUAGAGUACGGAAGAGGCGAGUGGAAUUCCUGGUGUAGCGGUGGAAUGCGCAGAUAUCAGGAGGAACACCAAUAGCGAAGGCAGCUCGCUGGGACGUUACUGACGCUGAGACGCGAAAGCGUGGGGAGCAA
rnacentral:rRNA from 1 species